UCAGUUUUCCUUUUUCUCUCAUUAUUUUCAAGCCUCUGCUUUCACGGUAGCAUAAGUUUUAACAAAACACUCAAUCUUCUUAGCUGGCAGAACAAGCAGACAACAGAGUUUGAAACUGGAUGGAAGAAGUGCAAUAACUUUUUCAGAAACCCAUAAUAAGCUAGAUCAGAACAUGUUCACAGAGCACGUACCUAUUUCUGUCAAUACCUGUUACCUUAUAUUUAGGCUUUUAAAGUCAUUCCUGAAUCAUUCAUUAAAUGCAGAUUAGGCUUGCUGUCUUGCCUAAUCAAGCUUGCAGGCGCUGAAAUUCCUAAGAGUCUGGUGCCACUAGCUCUUCGGUCACUGUAAUGACUAGGAGUGACAGCUGCCUAUGACAGGCCUGUUUUUCACUUGGCUCCCUAUUCCUUUUGGGCAUUUAGCUUCAUGUGAGUCCUUGAAACAUUUUUUAACAAAGCUUUCUUUACAGCCCUAGUGGGAAUCUCUAGUUCCUGUAAGCAACUAUAAGCAAAUAUAUGGUGUCUGAAAUGCAUGGUAUUUUUUGUUGGAGCAGACAUAUAACCCAAUUAAGCAACUGCUAACUAAAUACAAAAUAUUUUGUUUGGCUUGAUGUGGAUUAUUUGUUUUGGGUGUUAAUUGGUAUACUGGUUUUCUAUUUCAUAUCCUCUCUGAGACAAAUGGCCUCAGAAAGACAAAAAUAAACACUUUUUCACAGGUUUAUAUUACUGAAAGCAUAACACACUGAAGAAGGAAAGGGUUUUCUUUCUCAUGAAUUGGGGUUGACAUUUAUCAAGCAGCCAGAUAUAUUGCAGUAUGAUGCCCAGGAUCUAACAAAACAUUGUUCAUAUAUUUUGUUACUGUGAUACAAUUUUAUUAAACACAGAAUGGUGGUUGCAUGACAGACCAGGUCAUUAUUACACUGACAUAAUAAUUUUUCAAAAUGAAAAUCAUCUUAAUAUUACACAAGCUUGGGCUUUUUUCCUGUUUGUUGUUUUUCUUUCUGAAAAGCAAAGAUAAUUUUAUAGUCCCCUCUCUUCCUGUAACAUGGAUAGCUGCUCAUUGCUUGCAAAAUCCUUUGAGAAAUAAGAAGGGAUUUUCACAUGGGAAUGAUUUGACAUUUCUAUUUACCUAGAGACUUUACAAGGAUUAGAGAAAUAGAUGAAAUAGAAUUU